AAUUAUUCUUAUUUUCAUCUAAUUCCAUCCCUUUACAUGGACUCUUAAAUUCAAAUUUUCAAUUUAAAAUUUAAAAUCUAAAUUUGAAAUUUAAAAUUUAAAAUUUGAAUAUUUGAAAAUUAUUUGAAAAUUUAAAAUUUAAUUUUGAAUUUUAAAAAUUUGAAAUAUGUAAUUAGAAAGUUACAACUUAUAUUUUAAAUUUUAAAUAUUAGAUUUUUAAAUUUGAUUCUAAAAUUUUUAAAUAUAAAUUUUAUCUUUGAAAUUUAUUAUUUUGAAUUUUGAAAUCUAAAAUUUUAGGUUUAAUAUUUAAAUUGAGAAGUUAAAUUUAAGAUUCAAAAUUUGAACUUGAAUUUAAUAUU
rnacentral:lncRNA from 1 species